rnacentral:ribozyme from 1 species
AAAUAAAAAAGCGAAAGAAAAAACAAAGCUGCGUGAAAGCAUGUGACCACAGGGCCAGGAGACAAAUUCGUCAUUGUUUCAAACCAUUGUUUUUUUUUUUACUCGUUUUACUUCUUCGUUCGCCACUGUUUUGAUUCGCGCGUUUUUU